AAAAAGGACAAGCACAAAGCACAGGUGCCACGUGUUUUUAAAAAAAAUUGGGGAAAGGGAGUAUAGCCGCGCGGCUAUACUAUUUAUAUAUUAAAAAAGGACGCGCACAAUGCACAGGUGCCACGUGUUUAAAAAAAAAUGGGGGGAGAGUGAGUAUAGCCGCGCGGCUAUACUAUGUUUAAAUAGAAAAUUAAGGAAGAAUCUAGUAUAGCCGAGCGGCUGUACUAUUUAUAGACCCGCCCAUAGCCUAUGAGCCACGUGUCAAACAGGUACAGCCGGGCAGCUGUACUAUUUAUAUUUCAAAAUUUUUAAAAACGAGUAUAGCCGCACGGCUAUACCAUUUUUUUAAAAAACAAUUAGGUGCUUUUUCAAAUACAUAUUAUUUUUAUUCAAUAAUAUGUUAGAAUUAUGUGUAUAACACGUGAAUUUUGUGUCUUAUUGAAAUUUUUGUAAAAAACAAGUGUAUUAAACAUGAGAAAUACGUGCGUACUUGUAUAAUACAUCAUUAAACGUGAAAGUGCGAAAAUCUUUAGAAAUCAAAAAGUAAAAAAUCAAAAAGGGACAGUAGAUACUCGAGUAAUGGCCUAAUAAUAACGGAUAGGGCUCUUGGGCUAUGGAGAAAUUUAAUUAGGACACCCAAAGGAUUUCAUAAAAGACUUAACAAGUACAAAUCAAUUAUUUGGUGGACUUUUUCUUUAAUUUUUUAUAUUAAAUAGUAAUUGAAAAAGGCUAAGAUAUUGCUCAAUUGCAUAUGUUUAAUUAAAGAAGAAGGCCAAAAAACAAAACUAAAGAAACUAAUUCUUUUAUAUUCAAAAGUGAAAAAAAAAAAAAAAAAAAAAACUGUACCAGAUUAAAUCUUCCUUUUGAAUAGUAUAGCCGCGCGGCUAUACUAUUUAUAUAUUAAAAAAGGACAAGCACAAAGCACAGGUGCCACGUGUUUUUAAAAAAAAUUGGGGAAAGGGAGUAUAGCCGCGCGGCUAUACUAUUUAUAUAUUAAAAAAGGACGCGCACAAUGCACAGGUGCCACGUGUUUAAAAAAAAAUGGGGGGAGAGUGAGUAUAGCCGCGCGGCUAUACUAUGUUUAAAUAGAAAAUUAAGGAAGAAUCUAGUAUAGCCGAGCGGCUGUACUAUUUAUAGACCCGCCCAUAGCCUAUGAGCCACGUGUCAAACAGGUACAGCCGGGCAGCUGUACUAUUUAUAUUUCAAAAUUUUUAAAAACGAGUAUAGCCGCACGGCUAUACCAUUUUUUUAAAAAACAAUUAGGUGCUUU
rnacentral:lncRNA from 1 species